rnacentral:rRNA from 1 species
CAGCACCUCAAGUGGUCAGGAUGAUUAUUGGGCCUAAAGCAUCCGUAGCCGCCUCUGUAAGUUUUCGGUUAAAUCUGUACGCUCAACGUACAGGCUGCCGGGAAUACUGCAGAGCUAGGGAGUGGGAGAGGUAGACGGUACUCGGUAGGAAGGGGUAAAAUCCUUUGAUCUAUUGAUGACCACCUGUGGCGAAGGCGGUCUACCAGAACACGUCCGACGGUGAGGGAUGAAAGCUGGGGGAGCAAACCGGAUUAGAUACCCGUGUAGUCC